AGUCCAGGGAUAUUAGUUCGUGCAGAGACGCUAAUCAUAUAUAGUUGCAUAACAUUUUUUUUUAAUUUAUUGUUCUGUGUCAUGUUUUUGUAUGGACAUAUACACAGGCCGAAAUCAUGCGUAAGAAGUCAUCGCUAUUUUUUUUUAACAUUCUAAAAAGGAAAUAACACAAAACUAGAAUUUACGAGGAUGUAGCCCACAGGCACAUAUUUCCUAUACGUCAUAGACCACAGGCGUCCAUAAAUGUAGCCUGACAACGACUGAAACGAACAUAAAAAGCUCUACUGAGCCUUUAGUUGGCAUCUGUUGAUUUAAGAUUAUCCACGUUAGAUAAUCGAGAUGUCGGUGUUACUAAUUAGAAUGUAUAAUUAUAAAAAAUCCCAGAAUAGGAGAUAGAGAGAACGUUGAAUGCAACAGGAGCUUCUGUUAUUUGCUAUGGCAUAGUGACGUCAGAACCAAGAUAAAGCGAACCGGAGGGUCGACAGCAAGGUUUCAAGCAAGACCUAUUUGGCUGAAUUUCAAUUUGGCUCGAGUGCAUGAACUGCAACGAGUGCCGCUGUUUCUAAUUCCAGUUAUUCGUCUGCCGAGACCAACGCUUCGCGCGGACCCCUGCGUUUCAGGAACACGUACAAAAAAAAAAAGUCUUCAGGUAACAUCGAAGAUGUAAUGACCCGUCAUACCAACAGAAUCGUGAAAGAAUGUAAUAUCAACACAAGGAUUCUUGAGAUCAUCAAUCAAAUACCAAGAUUUUCUAGUCGUUAACAAGUCAUGCUUCAGGAAACACUCAUAUUUCUUUUUAAGCUGGCUUGGAACUGUUCUGACUUUCUGAAGCAACAAAAUCUGGGUCAUACAUUAAUUCUUGUUUCUUAUGUUUUCACUGCUGCAGUUCUGGAGGAUUAAUCCUCUAUAGUUUAUAAAGUUGCUAGAGAUAUUUCAUGUAAAGGAUUUGAUCUUUUAUACAUUUUUAAAUGCACAAUGCACUGAGUUUGAUAAUUUUAAGAGUAUAUGCAUUUGAUUGUUUGAGAAUAUGGUAGAUACACUACUUCCCAAUGUCUGAUAUUAUUUCACCUACCAUCUGUUACACAGAUAUUACCAGAAACAUAACUAGAAUGCUCUUAUUUUUCUUUCAGUUUGCAUGGAAAGUAAAAAUACGGCUUCCUACUCUUCUCACUGUAGCUUUUCUAGCUUUUGACAUUAGAGUAAGAGUAGAAAUUGAAGUCCAAAAUUAAUGUUUUAUCUGAGAUUCACCUUUCUUUAACAUUUGUCACAUGUCCUUGCAAAUGUACACAUUCUUAGAAACAGAGUUUUAAGUCCUACCUCUUUGUCUUUUGUAGGAGAAUUGAGCACUUUUGUUUGAACUAAUUUUAAUAAAGUGCAUUAAGAUUUUCCAAAUUAGAGUGUUUUAAAUUUUAUUUAGCUAACUUGCAUGCGAAUGUGCAUUUAUAUCUGAGCAUAUGUGCUAAUUUUUGUGUGCAAACUCAUAAAUGCAUGUAUUGGAUUGAAAUAUAUAUGAAUGAUAUGUAUAUCUCGCAACAUUUUAGUUUCAAGUUUUUAAACUGUUGAAUCAUCGAUUGCUUUAUGCAUUUCAUUCAUAUGAAAAUCUACUCCAUGAGCGGUGGGAUUAGAAACUUUAAAGAGUUAACUUCAAGAAGCUGUUUUCAUCAGUGGCAUGGAUUUAUAUAUAUAAUUGUCCUUGCUCAACAGAUGUUUCUUUACAUCAGAAUUUAUUUCCCUAGCUGAAUUUAUUUCACAUGUAUGUGUUUGUUUCAAAACAGAAACGUGGACAUUUGGUAUAAAGGCUGCUAGCAAAUAAUAAAACUCAAGGUGAAAAAAAGGAAAACUGGUAAAUAAACAUUCUAGACUAGCUGUCUCCCCACCUACUUGCCAAUUGUGCUUCAUGCGAGCAGGCCCGGUGAGAGGUGUGUAGGGGGGAACAAGGUGGUCUGGUGUACCCUGUCCACGGCUGUGAAAGGGGCCUGGCUUUGGUCUGUAGAUUUAUUUCCUUCUUUUUUUCUUUUAAUAAAAGGUUGACAUAACA